rnacentral:rRNA from 1 species
AUUGAACGCUGGCGGCAGGCUUAACACAUGCAAGUCGAGCGGAGUGAUGGUGCUUGCACUAUCACUUAGCGGCGGACGGGUGAGUAAUGCUUAGGAAUCUGCCUAUUAGUGGGGGACAACAUCUCGAAAGGGAUGCUAAUACCGCAUACGUCCUACGGGAGAAAGCAGGGGAUCACUUGUGACCUUGCGCUAAUAGAUGAGCCUAAGUCGGAUUAGCUAGUUGGUGGGGUAAAGGCCUACCAAGGCGACGAUCUGUAGCGGGUCUGAGAGGAUGAUCCGCCACACUGGGACUGAGACACGGCCCAGACUCCUACGGGAGGCAGCAGUGGGGAAUAUUGGACAAUGGGGGAACCCUGAUCCAGCCAUGCCGCGUGUGUGAAGAAGGCCUUAUGGUUGUAAAGCACUUUAAGCGAGGAGGAGGCUCUUUUGGUUAAUACCCAAGAUGAGUGGACGUUACUCGCAGAAUAAGCACCGUCUAACUCUGUGCCAGCCGCCGCGGUAA